rnacentral:rRNA from 1 species
GUGGAGCAAUCCAUGCCGGUAGGGGAGCGGCCUGCGUCCUAUCAGCUUGUUGGCGGGGUAACGGCCCACCAAGGCGAUGACGGGUAGGGGGUGUGAGAGCAUGUCCCCCAACGCUGGGACUGUGACACGGCCCAGACACCUACGGGUGGCAGCAGCCGAGAAUAUUCGACAAUGGGCGAAAGCCUGAUCGAGCGACGCCGCGUGCGGGAAGAAGCUCUGCGGAGUGUAAACCGCUUUUAGCGAGGAACAAGUCCGGUCGCAAGGCUGGAUUGAGCGUACUCGCGGAAUAAGGGGCUGCUAACUCUGUGCCAGCAGCAGCGGUAAUACAGAGGCCCCGAGCGUUAACCGGAAUUACUGGGCGUAAAGGGUGCGUAGGGGGUUUGUAUAGUCCUCUGUGAAAGCCCUCGGCUCAACCGAGGAAUGCCAGAGGAUACGUACAUACUCGAGGGUGUCAGAGGCAAGCGGAACGGUCGGUGUAGGGGUGAAAUCCGUUGAUAUCGACCGGAACACCAAAGGCGAAGGCAGCUUGCUGGGGCAUCCCUGACCCUGAGGCACGAAAGCGUGGGGAGCGAAUGAGAUUAGAUACCUCAGUAGUCCACGCCCUAAACGAUGCUGACUCGCUAUGUGGAGUAUCGACCCUCCAUGUGGCUUAGGUAACCCGUUAAGUCAGCCGCCUGGGAAGUACGGCCGCAAGGCUAAAACUCAAAGGAAUAGACGGGAGCUUGCACAAGCGGUGGAGCGUCUGGUUCAAUUCGAAGCUAAGCGAAGAACCUUACCAGGGCUUGACACUCCGUGGAAACCCCUGUGAAAGCGGGGGCCUCCGCAAGGACUACGGAGCCAGGUGAUGCAUGGUCGUCGUCAGCUCGAGUCGUGAGACGUUCGGUUCAGUCCGGGAUCGAGCGCAACCCCUGCUGCCUGUUUCAUGUGUCAGGCAGGACUGCCCGUUUUAAAUGGGAGAAAGGUGGGGAUGACGUCAGAUCCGCAUGUCCCUUUGACGCCCUGGGCGACACAGGCGCUACAAUGGCAAGGACAAUGGGUCGCGAAGCGGUAACGCGGAGCCAAUCCCAUCAAACCUUGCCCCAGUUCGGAUUGGGGUCUGCAACCCGACCCCAUGAAGCCGGAAUCGCUAGUAAUCGCGGAUCAGCCACGCCGCGGUGAAUACGUUCCCAAGCUUUGUACUCACCGCCCAUCACGCCAAUGAAGCCGGGAAUGGCUUAAGCCUCGCAUUUGCGGGUCCAAGCCAAGUUCGGUGACAAGGGCGAAGUUGUAACAAGGCAUGGCUAGCGGAAGCUGGUCAUGGAUCACCUCCUAU